rnacentral:lncRNA from 10 species
CUCUUCCUCCUGCUACUGCCAUGUGAGAUACCUGCCCCUACUUUGCCUUCUUCCAUGAUUGGAAGCUUCCUGAGGCCACCCCAGAGUCAGAAGCCGCUAUGCUUCCUGGACAGCUUGCAGAACCCAAUGUGAGGAAAGUGGAAUGAACUUGGACUUUGAAGGCAAACUAACCUGGAAUCAAAUACUGGCUCUGCUGUUUGCAAGUGUGAUCUUUGGGUAUGCUUCCUAAUCUGUGAGCUUCAACUUCCUCCUCUGUAAACCAAGAUCAAAGACAAACAGGGAAACCUACUUGUCUGGUGCCCAUCCCCUUGGCAGAACACUCCUCUGAAGGAUGACAGUUUGGCUGUGCCAGGGCAGAGCUGCCGACACCAAAUGAGCCUUCAUAGCAACUAUCUGAUGAGGAACUCACUGGCCUACCUUUCCUUGACAGCUGGGGCCUGCCAGCCUUGAAGCAUGACUCCACAACGCCCCUACCCAAGGCCAUGGAGGUUGCUGCUGAUGAGCAAGCUGUUUUAUAUUUAAUCCAGGUUUCUGCUUGGAGAGGAAGAAGGUAGAGGAGCCAGCGAAGGUUUGUCUGAAUGAUACUUGCAGAAAAAACACUGGUAACAGUCACAAAACUUUGAAAAU